rnacentral:rRNA from 1 species
UACAGAGGUCUCAAGCGUUUGUUCGGAUUCAUUGGGCGUAAAGGGUGCGUAGGCGGCGCGGUAAGUCGGGUGUGAAAUCUCGGGGCUUAACUUCGAAACUGCAUUCGAUACUGCCGUGCUUGAGGACUGGAGAGGAGACUGGAAAUUUACGGUGUAGCGGUGAAAUGCGUAGAUAUCGUAAGGAAGACCAGUGGCGAAGGCGGGUCUCUGGACAGUUCCUGACGCUGAGGCACGAAGGUCAGGGGGAGCAAAACGGGG